UACGAAGGGGGCGAGCGUUAUCCAGAUUUACUGGGCGUAAAGGGCGCGUAGGCGGCCCUCUUUGUCGCGUGUGAAAUCCUCGGGCUCAACCCGAGAACUGCAUUGCAAACUGGCCUGGCUAGAGUGCAGGAGAGGGAAGCGGAAUUCCAGGUGUAGCGGUGAAAUGCGUAGAUAUCUGGAGGAACACCGGUGGCGAAGGCGGCAUCCUGGACCAACACUGACGCUGAGGAGCGAAAGCCAGGGGAGCAAACGGG
rnacentral:rRNA from 1 species